GAUGAACGCUGGCGGCGUGCUUAACACAUGCAAGUCGAACGAUGAAGCCCAGCUUGCUGGGUGGAUUAGUGGCGAACGGGUGAGUAACACGUGAGUAACCUGCCCUUAACUCUGGGAUAAGCCUGGGAAACUGGGUCUAAUACCGGAUAGGAGCGUCCACCGCAUGGUGGGUGUUGGAAAGAUUUAUCGGUUUUGGAUGGACUCGCGGCCUAUCGGCUUGUUGGUGAGGUAAUGGCUCACCAAGGCGACGACGGGUAGCCGGCCUGAGAGGGUGACCGGCCACACUGGGACUGAGACACGGCCCAGACUCAUACGGGAGGCAGCAGUGGGGAAUAUUGCACAAUGGGCGCAAGCCUGAUGCAGCGACGCCGCGUGAGGGAUGACGGCCUUCGGGUUGUAAACCUCUUUCAGUAGGGAAGAAGCGAAAGUGACGGUACCUGCAGAAGAAGCACCGGCUAACUACGUG
rnacentral:rRNA from 1 species